AAUGCAACAUGGCAGUCAAAACUCCAAUAAAUUAUUGCUUCCAGAGUACUAUGGUAAAGACGACUCUUUACCCUAGCUAUAUAGAUGCAAAAAAAACUUAUUUUAUAUACCAGAAAAAUGAAAAAAAAAAUGUUGCUAGCGUUCUUCCACCUGACAGGUCAUGCAUUAACAUGGUUUAUGUGCCUAUAUGAGAGAACUGCUUCAUGGUCCUUUUUUUUCUGAAACUACUAAAUGGUUCAAACUUUUGCCAAGAAAGAACUCUCUGGGACAAUUGUCAAAAACUCAUGGGCUGGGAUGACAGAAGGAAUAAACAGAUUCAUUUUUAACCUAGAUCUAUCAGGUGAAAAUUCUAUGGAUGGCCCAACAAUUAAUGUUAUUCACACCAGAAUUAACAGAUCGCUAGCAUCUCACAUAAGUCAGGCUCUGCGGAUCAGUAACCUUGCCACUGCUUAUAUAAAACUGAUCAACAGUGUUCCACACGUCCCACGAAAGUGCAACCACAUCUCACGCCACUGCUCCCACAGGCUGCAAGACUUGCCUACAG
rnacentral:misc_RNA from 1 species